rnacentral:tRNA from 1 species
GCGAGGAUGGCGGAACUGGCAGACGCGCACGUUUGAGGGGCGUGUGGGAGACCGUGUGGGUUCAAGUCCCACUCUUCGCA